rnacentral:tRNA from 1 species
CCCCGGCUAGCUCUGUUAUUAGAGCAUGAGACUUGUAAUCUCAGGGUAGUGGGUUUGUGUCCCACAUCGGGUG